rnacentral:rRNA from 1 species
GUAAGGACCGAGCGUUGUCCGGAAUCAUUGGGCGUAAAGGGUACGUAGGCGGCUAGAAAAGUUAGAAGUCAAAGGCUAUAGCUCAACUAUAGUAAGCUUCUAAAACUAUUUAGCUUGAGAAAUGGAAGGGAAAGUGGAAUUCCUAGUGUAGCGGUGGAAUGCGCAGAUAUUAGGAAGAAUACCGGUGGCGAAGGCGACUUUCUGGCCAUUAUCUGACGCUGAGGUACGAAAGCGUGGGUAGCAAACAGGAUUAGAUACCCUGGGUAGUCCACGCCGUAAACGAUGAGUGUUAGGUGUCUGGAGUCAAAUCUGGGUGCCGCAGCAAACGCAUUAAACACUCCGCCUGGGGAGUACGCACGCAAGUGUG